rnacentral:rRNA from 1 species
UACAGAGGGUGCGAGCGUUGUCCGGAAUCACUGGGCGUAAAGGGCGCGUAGGUGGCGACCCAAGUCGAUGGUGAAAGCUCGCCGCUCAACGGCGAGUCGGCCACCGAUACUGGGUUGCUGGAGCACUGUAGAGGCAGAUGGAAUUCCGGGUGUAGCGGUGGAAUGCGUAGAGAUCGGGAGGAACACCAGUGGCGAAGGCGGCUACCUGGACCAGCACUGACACUGAGGCACGAAAGCGUGGGGAGCAAACAGG